UACAGAGGUCUCAAGCGUUGUUCGGAUUCAUUGGGCGUAAAGGGUGCGUAGGUGGCGAGGUAAGUCUGGUGUGAAAUCCCGGGGCUCAACCCCGGAACUGCACUGGAUACUGCCCUGCUAGAGUACUGGAGAGGAGAUUGGAAUUUACGGUGUAGCAGUGAAAUGCGUAGAUAUCGUAAGGAAGACCAGUGGCGAAGGCGAAUCUCUGGACAGUUACUGACACUGAGGCACGAAGGCCAGGGGAGCAAACGGG
rnacentral:rRNA from 2 species